rnacentral:lncRNA from 1 species
CUCUGAGCAGAGCUUUGCCUCACAGCCAGUAUCGUGACUGUCUCUGUGCUUAAGUCUUGCUUACAGGAAAUCUCAACAAUGGGGUCUUCAGGUCUCAAAAGCUUCUCAAGCAGAUCUCUAAACUUCUGGCUGCUUAGAGCUAUUUUCCUUAGCUCUGACUUGAAAAUUACAGGGUACAUCAUGCUACAACUACAAACAAGAUUAUUGCUAUGUACAAAUCAAGCUAGGAUUCAAAUUAAAAUACGAAAUUACUGUGGCUGUGCUAAACAGUAAACAGAGAUGGUCUUGGUGAAGAAUUUCUGCAGAAGACAGACAAAAUUGAAACAUCCCUUCACUAAAGUACAGUAAAUGGCUGCAUGGAUGAGAGAAGAAAAGAUUAAGCGGAAAAUACAGUCUUAACUCCCUACAGAAAUUAAAUCUUUCUAGAUCUUUUCUUCAUUCGUAAAUAAU